AUGGGCUUAGCCUGUAAGUUAUUAUUUUUCUUCAUAAAAAAUGAUGAGGGGGCAUGGAUUAACAAAUGAAAUUGCAUCAUUUGUCUUAACCAAAAAAAAAGAAAAAGAAAUUGCAUCAUUUGACUGGGAAAAAGGAUACUAUAGGAAAUUUUAGAUUUAGGUUCUUACCAAUUAAACACUUUUAAAGCCGACUAGAUUAAUUAUCCAAUUAUGCUUAAUGAUUCAGUUUGUGGUUAAUCAUUCACACACCAUAUCACAAAUAAUGAAUAGCAAAAAAUAAAUGAGACACGCAAUGUGGUGAUGAGGAGAAAACCCUGGAUGGGAAAAACUCUCUGAUGGUUUAUCCAUAAAUCUCAAGUUAGCAGAUCCACUAAAUAAAAUGGAAGUUUUAUAGUAGAUAUAAUCCUAAAUUUAUUGCUGCAUCAUGUAGAUUUAUUGAUGUGUCUCCAUAUAGCUCCAAAAUCAUGGACUCAUAUAUAGUGGACUUUAUUCAACAUGAACUCUUUUCUCAAAACUUCAAGAGCCCUCUUGAAGCUCUUUCAUUGUAGCUUGAUUGUGUUCCAAUUGCAGCAACUUCAACUUGAUUACCGAAUCUUGAUUAAUCUUCAAACCUUGAUCACUAGGUGAUGCUUUAUGAGAACUUUGUUAACCCUAACCUAGGUGUGCAAUACAUGGCUCUCCAAAAUCUUUAAUCACAUUAUGUAGGUCUCCUUUUAUACCUUGGCUUGGAAUUUACGAAGCCAUAGAAGCUUGGAUGAUGAUUUGGAUUGAAUUAGGAUUCCGUUGCAUGAUUCCGUUUUGAUUGACUUAAGAGGCCUAUGUGUCAAGAUCUAAUUAAUUAAUUAGCCAUACGUCGAGAUUAAUUCUUAUAAAAUUUCUUGAGCAGUCAAGGGCACAUGUCUUGGACUUCAAAUACAGCUCAAAGAAAUUUACGAGACCAUUGAUUUGUUCAAGGUUUGCCAAUCUAACACUAUGAACUCAAUAGAUACCUCAACAAAUUUUAGUCAAUGUUACUCGUGUGGAGUCCAUUAAACCUCUUUUUUUUUUUUUUUUUUUUUUUUUUUUUUUUUUUUUUUUUUUUUUUGGGAUUUGGAGUGGAGUCCAUUAAACUUAAUAUUGCAAGUGAGUUUUUUCAUUUUUCUGUUUGCAUUCCUUGUUAAGUUUUUAUAUCCAUUAUACUUUGUGGAAGUUAUCUUAAUUAUUAAGGCACUGUCAACCCCCACUCAACUAAGAUAGAUAAAUCUUCCUCUUAAACAAUUUGGUUUUCUCAAAAAAAAAAAAAAAAAAAAAAAAAAAAAAAAAAACAAUUUGGUAAGCAAAUGUCAUUUACAUCCCUAUUAUCUAAACUAUGGGUUAAACUAAUGUGUGACACGAUGUCACAAUCAAAGCUGAUAAAAGUAAUUCAUAAAUACAACUAAUUUAUUAAGCACGCGCAUUCUCAUAUUCAUAUACUUUAUAAAUAAAAAAUGGAUCAUGUUAACUAGUGCUUUUAGGGCAUUAAUUAACAAUUCAUUUUAGAAAAGUUUUAACAUUACUUUUAUAGAAAAUAAAAAAAAGUUGUCAAAACAUUAAAUUUUUUUUUAAAUAGAUUACUAAUUAAUACCCUAAGAGCAUUCGUCAGCAUUUUUCAUAAAAAAUUUCAGUAAAUUUCAUACCUUGAAAUUUUAAAACAAUUUUCUAGUAAAUGAUUCUUUAGGGACAUUGGUUUCCACGAGGUAAUAUCCUGAAAUUGAGAUAAUAUCAAGAAAGAUCAUCGUAACUCGGUCAAUGGGAGGCAUUUCCCUCUGCUAUUCUCUUUCACGGCUAAGGUCUUAUAACUUUUUAUUUUUUAUUUUUUAUUUUUUGAGGUCAAGGUCUUAUAAGUUACAUAUAACAACUAUAUAUAAUUGAUUAUAAAAAAUAUAUAUAAAAAAUUAAUUUUAAUUAAGAUAUACUAUAUGCUCUAAAAAAAAAAAAAAAGAGAUACUACAAGAAUCUUCUUCUGCUGGUCGUGAUGUACGAUAAUCGAACUGAGCUUAUAACACAGCACCGUCGCUUAGUCCAAAUUAUAGAAUAAGGUGGCCGCGUCGAAUAUAGAGGCAAUACCAGGGUAUAUACGUGCACAUUAAUUAUGAUAUGCAUGGUGUCAUUUUCUAAUUUAAAAUCGAUUGAAAACAGAUAAUACAUGUAUAUAUAUAUAUAUAUAAAUAUUUAGAAACAGUGUUGGUGUUAUCGCACAAGAUUAACCUGAUAGAGACAAAGGUACUCGCUGAAAUUUACGCAGAAUAUAAAAAUUGGUAGUUUUAUAAGCUCAUAUAUAUAUAUAUAUAUAUAUUUUUUUUUUUCCAAACAAUAAUCCAAAGAAACACGGAAGAUUCUUCCCUAUAUUGCACAGAAACGCCCCUUAAGAUGGAAGUUUUGACUCCAUCACUAGCCUCAGAUUUUCAAGAAACUAAGAGUUACAUGGGUUCUCAACAAUAAGAGAAUCAAGUGGGCAAUUCUCCUUUGGCGUCACAAUCUUCUCAAUCUUCUUCAACUGAAUCAGGUGAGAAAGGCCGCACCAACUCUGACUUUCCUUGCAGUUUACUCGUGCAAUAACCUCACUUUUGUGCCGCAAUAAAUUGAUUCAAUUCUAUUCAUUUUCAGUGAACUCAAAUAAACUUUUAUGCAACAAUGGAAGUAAGCUUUUUCCACAUGACCAGAAGCUGCUGUGGGGUCAGAAUACUACCAAAGUCAGGAGGAAACUUUGGGUUCCUUCUGAUGCAAAUCAGGGUCUAAAGGUAGUCUCUUUCCUCCAAAUUCAAAAUUCUUUUAAACUAUAUAUAAUUUUUUUUUUUUUUUUUAUGAAUAAUAUAUAUAUAUAUAUAUGUGGUUUUCCAUCUUGUGGAAAUUACAUGGAAUAUGGUCCAAUCUUUAGUGGGUUCUUGAUGACAUGUCACGGAUGAAUUGGUCAUCCUGCAGUCUAGGAGUGCGAAGUGACUCACAAAACAGUAUUUAAUUAAAACCAUGGCAUUAAUCUUCUUUAUUGAAGAUUUACCAAACUCACUCAAGUCUGUUAAAAAGUGGAAAAAACAAACAUGGAAAAGAACUAGAAGCCUUUUUACCUUAUAAAGUGUCGAUUAGUGUAAUUUUUUUUUUUAAAGAAAACGAUUAGUGUAACUUAAUAGAGUGGCCACGGGGGCCAAAUUCAGGACUAGUUUCAUGCGCGUGCCUUUUCCUAAUUUAAAAUGGACCUAGAAAAAGAGAUAAAUAUUAGCCAGCAAAAUUGGGUUAACUUUCAAUGUGGGGGCAUUUGAUUUAGUGACUCAUUUUGAAAUAUUCAAUGUGCAAGUUGCAAUCUUGUGUGAAAACAAACAAAACUGGUUUCCAUAAAACUAUGUUCGAUUCUUCCCAACUAUUUUGCACUGAUCCACCCUUAAACAUGGGAGUUCAGACUCCAGCCAUGAGGGAAGUAACACAACAGCUUAAUUUUGAGCCUCCUAAAUUAUCCAACUCCACCACGACCAAUCCCUUUGGAUCAAUAAGCUCAGCCUUUCAGAUAACUGGGUACAUGGGUUUUCAACAACAAUUUGGCAAUUCUCCUUUGGCAUCCUCAAAAGACCAACAAUUUGGCAAUUCUCCUUUGGCAAUAUCCCAGUUUCCCAGUUUUGAUUCAGACGUCUUGUCGUGUCAAUCUUCUGGGAAAAACUUUUCCUUAACCGAUUCAGCUGAGCAAGCAGCUGGGUCAAACCUUGACUUAAGGGACUCCUUGCAGUCACUUGUGAAAUCCCACUUAUAUUCUUCUUCGGAUAAGUCAAAUGUUCCACGCAACAAUACAUGUAGAAGCAAUCGUUUUCCACAUGACCAGAACAUGUUGCUUGGUGUUGACAGUGCCUUUGUCAGGAGGCCAUUUUCGCUUUCUUCAUAUGCAAAUCAGGGUCUCAAAGUAAUCUCUUGUGUUCCAUUCUGAAAUUUCAACUCUCUCUCACACACACACACACACACACAUACAUGAAAUUUUAUUGAUUUUUUCUUUGUUAUUUCCAAACAGGUUUGCCACAGUGCAUCAUCAAGGCCAGCUCCAACACUUAAAAAACGAAUCAGAUGGACUCCAGACCUUCACAAUCAAUUCGUGAAGUGUGUUGAGCGCCUUGGUGGUCCUGAGAGUAAGUAAUUGGAUAAAGCUUUGUUGAUUAAAAAAAAAAAAAUAAGUACGAAAGAAAAGAAAAUGACCUAUGAUAUAUUGAUUUUUGUUUAUACAUAAUCACAGAGGCAACACCAAAAGCUAUACUGAAGCUGAUGGAAACAAAUUUAUUGACCAUAUUUCAUGUGAAAAGUCAUUUACAGGUAUUAAGUUAUUUCUUUAAGAACUUGAUGUCAUUUUGAAACCGAGUUUGUAUUAUGCUUUUGCAAAUAUAUAUCUGAAAAUUUUAUUCUUUCAAAUUUCUUUUGCAUUUGUAUUGCAGAAAUAUCGAACCACACUGUCUGGGGCAGAGUCUGUAGAUGGUAUAUCUUGUUAAAUUUCUAGUUCUGUUUUUCAAUGUGGAAACUUAUAAUAUUUCUAUGUUUUAUUGUUUUCCGACUAACAAUUGGACAUCUUCAAUAUUGUACUGUGAGGUCUUCAUCGAAGUUUAUGAAGCGUUGACGUAAAAAUGGGACACUUCACUGAUUGCUAUUUCAUGUUGCAUCUCUAUAAUAAUGGUUAUGAAAUACAUGCUGCUGAAGCCUUUCUUUAUCCUUUGCUUGUUUCAGUAAUAAAUAGGGGAAAACAAAAAUACAAAAAAACUCUCUGAAGUAUAGGUCAGAGUGAUCUUACAUUGGAGACCCUUUGAACUUUGAGGAGCCAAAAUGAAAUUUUAAAACCCUUAGGAUGGUCUAUAUAUAUAACUAUAUAAGAUUUCAGAACUUAUUUCUUGUAGGACCAAGGCUAUAUUCUUUUAUGGGUAAGAUUUAAGAAACCCCAAACUAUUUUCUUUAUAAAAAAAGACACACUCAGCCUUUUAUGGGUUUUUUGAUAAACAAGGGUUUGGUCUAUAUAUCCUCUCACAUGGGAGAGAAAAAGAUUCUUAGAAGAAUAUAGAAUAAAAUACACUUGGGCCCUUAAAGUCUAAUGCUGUUUUUAUUUUAGCCCUUUACAAUAAAAACUUUCAUUUUAAUCCUUUAUGUUUGAUUCAAUUUUAUGUUUGGCCCUUUAUAAAAAAUGAAAAUUUUGAAACAUAAAUAUGCAAAUAGAAAACUACAUCAAACAUGAAAGGUCAAAAUGAAAAUUUUGAAAUGUGAAAGACUAAUAAUAUGAAACAAAAUCAAGCAUGAAAGACUAAAAUAAAAUAAAAUAAAAACAUGAAAUUUCAAAUUAUUUUGUUAAGUACUCAUUUUUUAUUGAUGAAUCUUCUAUUGGAAGGAUCUUGAAACAAAGGACUCUACCGAACUCUUUAAAAUACCCACUAAAUGUGUGUUAGAAAAUUAUAUUGGACGUGAUUGUGACACUGCACACAUGGUUAGCCAAUCAAGUUUUCUUGUUCUAUUUUUGAUAGUUUUCCUAGAUGAGAUCACAAAAUUAUGUUCAACUUUGAUUCUCUCAAUUUUAAUUUUCUUGGUCAAAACAUUUCUCAAACUAAUCGUGUCUGCUUGUUUCUUUUCAAAUCAAAGUAAUUUGAUCUAGCUAGUUUACUGGUAAACCUUGAUCUCACUGUAUGUUUCUAUUGCAGAAAUGCCUAAGAGAAGAGCUGGUGCAGAUUGCAAUCCCCAACUCCAUGUGAAAAUGUAAAGUUCUUGAUUAAGUGCUAGACAACCUAUUUAAAGUAGUCUUGUCUUUAUAAUAUUACCAUUAACUUAUUCCUCUUUCUUUCAAUUAUUUUCUGCACUAACUGCUCACGCAUGCACUUUAUUCUCUCUGUCUUAUACUACUUGUUGACCUGUCUCGUAGUAGCAUGCAAAUUCAGGAGACAUUGCAGUUGCAACUUGAAGUUGAGAAGCGUCUUCAUGAACAAUUAGAGGUAUAGCCUGAUUUCCAUCCAUGAUUUUGUAACUUGGCAAUUAAAUGUUAAUGGUAGCAGCAUGAAAAUUGUGCUUAUGCACCUUCUUUUACAUAUUUCUCUUAACUAAUGCCUCUUUGCUUCAUUACUAUUUUGUUUUACACACUCUCUCUCUCUCUCUAAACAAUUAAUAAGUUCUCGGUGUGGUCCAUAUGCUCACAGUUCUUCUCUUUCUUCCACAAGUUAAAAAUAUUUAAUAGAAAGUGCUCUCUCCAACACCUAUGGUGGUGGUUAUUUCUACACUUCCCUCUCUCUCACAGAUAGCAUGAUCAUUUUGUCUCCUCUUAAUGUGAUGUUAAUCAUGAAUUCAUAGAACUUUUCUUGCUAAUUAUUUUAAUGGACUAGCCAUACUUAGCUUCUUAAUGUAAGGUUAAUUUUGCAUUCCUUGUUGAUGUGAUAAAUUUAAUUUGCUUCUCUCGGUCAGGUUCAACAAAAUUUACAGAUAAUGAUUCAAGAACAAUUGAGACAACUCAGGAUGAUGUCUCACGUGCAAGAGGACAAAACAAUGUAAGAGCAUGUUCAAAUUAAAUCACCAAAUUUUUAAUUUUAAAGUUUCUAAUAUUUUAAAAGUUACAUGUUCAAGUCUGAAUUUUGUCCCAACAUAAGGUCCAUUAGUCUUGUCUGAGCGAGUGGACCAUAAUGAACCUUUCUCAGAACUGGUUGGGCCAUUAGAUGAGCCACAACACACCCACCAAACAUGUGGCUUUCAAGUGAGUUUAAUGAGAAACCCUAAUUUCUCUUGAUAUUUAAAUUUUUCAAGAUUUCCUUUCCACGUCAAAACAAUUGUCCAAGAUUGCUAGAUCAAACACGUGAUGAACAUAGUAUUAAGUUCAAGAGCGGUUGUCUCUCCUCUUCAACAUUUCUACUGCUUCCUUACCUUCCCUUUUCAGAGUUUUCUUUCUCUCUUCCUUCACGGCUUUGCCGUCAUUAUUUUCUCUCUUUUUUUUCUUUUCUUUUCUUUUUUUUUUUAAAUUUUUUUAAAUUUUUUUUAUUACAACUUCUUUUUAUGAAUCAAAUCAAAUUCCCAUUGAGUUUUCAUGUAGAAUCCAAAUAUAUGAUUAGUUUACCAAAUUUCCAAGUUAAGAUCAAGUUUAAGGCUAAUUGGCUUACUAAUCCAGUUUAAAAAUCAAGUUAUGAAUAUCUUAUAGUUAAUAGUCUAACCCUAAAACUCAAAGUUCAUAAUUAUACACACUAGCUUGAUAAGAUCAUCCUAAUCAUGAAAUAUCCAAAAUUCCUUAAUUAGACUAUGAUCUUAAAAAGACUAAAGAUGAUUGGAAGGACUUACACGUUGAGGACGUCUUACCUUAAGAAGCUCCAUUUCUUUUUAGAAUUUUCCUUGUAGAAGUAAUUAUUCCAUCUCUCUUAAAAGCUCUAAUAUUCUUCAUCAUUUCAAUAACCUAAGAAAUGUUCUUAUUUUACAUUGCCUAACUAGUGAAAAGUGUGUCACUUUGUUUUGGGCUGUGACCAUGGCUCUAGCCUCUAGUUUCCAAAUACAUUUGGGCUUUUGUUGAUGGCUCUCUUCCUCGGCCUAAGCUAUAUUCUCCUAACCUUCCUCUUUGGAUUUGUGCCAACAAUAAAAGCUGCUAAAUAAAUUGUCAAUGACCGCGUCAAAUAUUGUGAACGUGAAAAAUUCUUAAAUAUUUUUAGAGCACGGAAAAAUAAUGUUUUUUUCUUUCACAUUCAAGAUGCGAUGAACCCUAUUAUAAAUGUGAGCAAAAAAAAUAUUAUUCUCUAUAUUCCAAAAAUACUUAAAAAUUACUCUUCUAGAUUUUCUUGCAAAAUUUGUACCUGCUAAAUUCAGCUUGAAAAAAUAUAUUUAAUAGUACCUUUUAAAACGUCAACUAUCUCUAUAAUCAUGCAACACCGAACGGAAAGAAGUACAGGGCAAAUUUCGUACAAAACUUUUGUGCCUUUUCCAUGUCAAACCAAUGUUUUCAAUUCUAUUUCUCUCUUUUGAAGCAUUCAUGCCAGCCUCAAAUAUCAUGUUUUUUUGACCACAUCCCACCCAAACAUGGAACACCUACUAGAGAUCAAAACACCCAACUACAUCAGAUAAAUCUCACAUUUUAUCUUUAGAAUCACCACCACUACCAGAUGUCAAAAUACCCAAACACAACUACUAGUCAUAGUGUCACCGUUUCACCAUCUCCAUCAGAACCCAACAGAUCUGAGCUUGGGUUUCAGAUUUCGAAGUAACUCAAUCACGACAUCACCCACUGUCCUCCUUGUCAUCAUCAUCACCUCUUUCAACACAGUUUUAGAUUAGGAACCACUAAAGGAGAGCUUUCUCUUGGUUUCUCUCUCUAAUCUGAUAUCCAAUUCGCCAUCGUACAAACCAUCACAAACCAACUCGAAUCUUGAGUUCCACCUUGAAUCUUCUUUAUUUGCCGUGAAACAUAUAUUGAGAGAGUUUAGCCAUAUUUUUAUUGAGACGGGUGUGAAUCCUGCCCUCUCUCUCUCUAACAAAGCAUUAUUUUUAUCAUCAUUAUUAUCUCAAAAUGGAAUACAAAAUAUACCGGAAACAACAAAUUUCGUUCUAAUGGACGAACCAAAACGAUCAUUGAAAAAGAAUUGAUAACUUUAGUAAAAACUAGGACAACUUUAAUGAAUAACAAGAUUAAGCACUUCUAAUGCAAUUCUUGAUGGGUUUGAACAACACUAAGUGUUUUUUUUUUUUAGUCAAAUUUUAAACAUUUCAUUAUUUGUUGUUACAUGCAUACUUUCUUUUAAUUUUUUUUUAAAGAGUUUCAAAUUAUGGCGUUCGUUUUUUAUGAUAGCUCUUUAUCAUCAGACCAAGGCACCAAUCAGUUUUUAGUGUAGACGGAGAUUGAACCCCAAAUUUCUUAUACAACCAUUAGAAAUUUUACCAAUUGAGCUAACUGGAAUCCACAUACUUUCUUUUAAUUCAAGAAGAGACUCGAUGCACCAUUUUUUUUUUUUAAUCUCUUCUUAAAUCAAUGACAACAUUUCCCCUUCUACUCGAUCUAUCAUUUACAGGGCUUCUCUUUUUUUGCAAAUAUUACAAGAAAAUGGACACACAGAUGAUGAGUGCUACAAGCUACAUGAGUUUCUGAAAAAUGCCGCCCUUGUUACUAGCUCCAUUUCAAAUCAAAAGGUGAUUCUUUUAACAACAAUACUAUUGCAACAACUUCUACAAAUAUGAAAUCAUACUUAGUUUCAAAAUUUUCCCAAUUCGCACAUGAACAAUACCAUCAAAUUAAUUUUUGAAAUUGAGUAUAUUAUUGAAUGAAUAUCAAAUAUAUAGAUGAGGCCUAUUUAUAUAAACAGAAUCUACAACUAGCAAUACACAAAUACAGCAAUAUAACAUAGAGUAUAGCAAGUAAAGUAGGCCCAAAUAGGCUUGUUGUUAACAGGAACAUAAUCUAACAUCAUCCAAAUACAAGUAGGUGUUGAAGUCCUUGCUAAUUUAGUAUAUGUUUCGUUUUCGAUAAUUUUUCUUCGUUACCUAGUUCUUGAAUAAUUGAUAAUAUUGCUACAAAUCACAUGGUGUAAUCUUCAUCAUUUUUAUCUUCCAUAUAUCCCACUAGCAUAUAAUAAUAGGAACUUAACUCCCAUCUAUAUGUUGGAAUUAUUACAUUGCCUCCCACCUAACUCUAUAUAAUUUCUUUUCUAUUUCUUAUAACCUAAUCUUUGUGCGAAAAAUUAUUGAUGUUGGCAUAUUUUUAACAAUUAUUUCAUUUUUCAGGAUUGA
rnacentral:sRNA from 1 species